rnacentral:rRNA from 1 species
AACGAACGCUGGCGGCAGGCCUAACACAUGCAAGUCGAGCGGACAUCUUCGGAUGUUAGCGGCGGACGGGUGAGUAACGCGUGGGAACGUGCCCUUUGCUUCGGAAUAGCCUCGGGAAACUGGGAGUAAUACCGGAUGUACCCUUUGGGGGAAAGAUUUAUCGGCAAAGGAUCGGCCCGCGUUGGAUUAGGUAGUUGGUGGGGUAAUGGCCUACCAAGCCGACGAUCCAUAGCUGGUUUGAGAGGAUGAUCAGCCACACUGGGACUGAGACACGGACCAGACUCCUACGGGAGGCAGCAGUGGGGAAUCUUAGACAAUGGGGGAAACCCUGAUCUAGCCAUGCCGCGUGAGCGAUGAAGGCCUUAGGGUUGUAAAGCUCUUUCACCGGGGAAGAUAAUGACGGUACCCGGAGAAGAAGCCCCGGCUAACUCCGUG